UCGACGUGAUCAGGGGGCAACUCCUGGUGAAAGUGGCGGAAGGGUGAGUAACGCAUAGACAACGUACCCCCGAGAUGGGGAUAACUCAGGGAAACCUGAGCUAAUACCCAAUGGUGUCACUGGAGGGAUUCCUCUGGUGACUAAAGGUGGCCUCUGAACCAUGCUCCCGCUCGGGGAGCGGUCUAUGUCCUAUCAGCUAGUUGGUGGGGUAGCGGCCCACCAAGGCUUCGACGGGUAGCCGGCCUUAGCGGGUGUCCGGCCACACUGGGACUGAGAUACUGCCCAGACACCUACGGGUGGCUGCAGUCGAGAAUCUUCGGCAAUGGGCGAAAGCCUGACCGAGCGACGCCGCGUGCGGGACGAAGGCCUUCGGGUUGUAAACCGCUGUCGGGAGGGAUGAAGUGCACGGGGGCUAUCCCCUGUGUUUGACAGAGCUCCGGAGGAAGCACGGGCUAAGUUCGUGCCAGCAGCCGCGGUAAUACGAACUGUGCGAACGUUAUUCGGAAUCACUGGGCUUAAAGGGUGCGUAGGCGGCGCUGUAAGUCAGGUGUGAAAUCCCCCGGCUCAACCGGGGAAUGGCGCUUGAAACUGCAGUGCUUGAGUGAGGUAGGGGUGCAUGGAACUUCCGGUGGAGCGGUGAAAUGUGUAGAUAUCGGAAGGAACGCCGGCGGCGAAAGCGGUGCACUGGGCCUUGUCUGACGCUGAGGCACGAAAGCCAGGGUAGCGAACGGGAUUAGAUACCCCGGUAGUCCUGGCCGUAAACACUG
rnacentral:rRNA from 1 species